rnacentral:rRNA from 1 species
UACGUAGGGCGCAAGCGUUGUCCGGAAUUAUUGGGCGUAAAGAGCUACGUAGGCGGUUUGUCGCGUCUGCUGUGAAAACCCUAAGGCUCGAACCUUGGGCUUGCAGUGGGUACGGGCAGACUAGAGGUGCGGUAAGGGGUUGACGUGGAAUUCCGUGGUGAUAGCGGUGGAAUGAGCGCCAGAGUAUCGAGGAGGAACACCGAUCGGCGAAAGGCAGGUCACUAGGCCGCAAACUGACGGCUGGAGGAGCGAAAGCAUGGGGAGCGA